UUGAAAACAAUUUUCACCUGGAGUUAUAUUUUCGUACCCCUCACACAGGCUCAUCUGGCAGAUCGAGGGUGUGACGAAAGGAGGGGCAGACCGAAAAAACUGACGAUUCUAAAAGGGUUUGUUGCCCAUUGUUGUUUGUUUUACUUUUGCAUCACCUGAUCUACAAGUGUUUCUCUUUGGACGCCACCGCCUCCCUCAUGAUCGUGCUCCAGUCCCGCAUCGCCGACGUCCUCGCUGUCUACAUCCCCCGCCGCCGUCGUGGGGAAGGGCAUCCUCCUCGACCACGCCACCGGCGCCUGUGUUCCUGACGCCGUUACAGGGUUGCACCGAUCACGAUCUGCACUUCUGCAGAGCCACACCGGCUGGGAAGGUACGUAUACCUUCCAAAAUGCAUGCAAGCAUGAUGCAAGCUGAUUACAUAAUCUGCAGGAGUACGAACUGAACCGAAUGGUUGGUUUACCAUACAUCUUAUCUUACGUCGUUCAUUAGGUUUGAUUAUUUAUCUCAUGGGCAGGUUUAUCUCUGCUUACCUGAUUUACCCGUUUGUUCCAUGGCUACAUAGGUUAAUUGCCAAAUUGCAUGGAAUUUGUAUACCAAAGCAUAUUAAGACAGUCAAACGAUGAGUGCUUAAUGUUUCUAGCAUACUAGCAUAUUACCUGUGCCUUCACGGUCAAUGAGCAUAUCGAUAUAUUGAGCUGUGAAUGUCUCACUUGGAACCCACGAGGUAGCAACAUGUUAGAAACAUGAUUGAACAGACAUAAAUUAAAUAAUAGAAAGGUAAUGUAUUAAAAAAUAUUUUAUUUUACUUCAUGCAUGAUACGUUUUUAAUACAUAUCCCUGUGUGUUUGCAAUUCGCAUUUUGCUCUUAAUUUUUCUGGUGCUCUCUUAGAUUAAACACACAGGAAUUAUUCAGAGAGAGGAGAAGAAUGAACUAAUGCUUUUCAGUGCCCCAUCAACGAUGAUAAAAUCAUGUGUUUUAUCCUUGUUAUUCUGGACAUUCACAAGCCAUACAAAUUAAACCUACCAGGAAGCAUUCUGCCUAACCUACUACGAAGGAUAGUAUCUAGAUGUUUUAAUAAAAGUGGGAUUAAAUAACUUUGGAAUGCCCUAUCCCUUUUGUAUUUGUCAAUGUAGUUAAUUCUCUGAACAACUCCUUGCAAGCAAUAAUGACAACAAUGGCACAAGCUGGUUGUUAAUUAAAGCUUAUUGUACAUCUGUUUUUUAAUGGAAAUUGCAAUGCUACAAUUCUAGGUCUUAUAUGCCUUCGUGGAAAUCAUCAUUGCUGAAAUGUACAUGUCGUAAUCUAUUUUUUCUAUAAACGGUGAGAAGUUAGGUUAUCUUCUUGCUCGCAUGAACAAAACCAAGGAGCUUUUGCUUAACAAUUGCAUGUGUGUUUUCUAUAAUUGGACCUGGAGGGAAUGAGAAGCUGUUCUUCAGGCCAAUCUGUGGUAUUGUUUCAUGUUGGCUCAGCACCCUCAGUUAAUUUGUGUAGGCACUACAUGUAUUUGAAAUGUCUGUAAUUACAGCUCAUUUUUCUUGUGGCUCUCAGCAAUGGAGGCUACCUUCAGGCCAUGACCAAACAGCAAGAAUGUUCAGAUCAUCAGAACUCGGAGUCUCAUAUCUACUGAUCAUGUGUAGUUACUUGUUGAACUAGGUUUAAAAAUAUUUGUAGCAUUCCACAUUUUUUUUACGAUAUCAAUGACAGUUUCCAGAAUUACACAAAGCCAAUAUGAAUCUCUUGUGAAUUAAGUGGGGGAUAUUGCCAUUAUAUUAAUAAUUAAUUAAAUAGUAGGAAAUAAAACAUUGGGUAACAGUCAUUGCCUUGUAUUUUUUCCACUUCCUUUAUGCUAAGGUACAUCUGUGUUAAAUAAAAGUGUUAUUCUUGCUGAUCUUAUUAUAGAAAUUAAAAAUUAAUACAUAUAAGUAGCACAUUCCUUCUUUUGGCUUUAUCAGGUGGAUGAGAUGGAUUCACGUUCCAAUGUGAAUUGAUGAUUUAUAUACUUCUUUUUGCAGUUGUUUUUUUAAAAGAGUUGUUAUACCUUCACAAUCUGUUGUUUGGAUUACAACUAGGACCAGGCACUUGACGAUCUGCUUGGCGGAGGGAUUGAAACACUUCGCAUCACAGAGGUGUAGCCAUAGUCAGGUGCUUAUCCAAGAUGCAAUUAGCCAAUUAUACAUGAUUCUCAAUCUAUUGAAAUUCAAGGCAAAAGAAAGUGAAUUUAUGUAAUUCUGAAGGAUGAAGAUGCUGAAAUUGUUCUUUUUUGAAAAGGAAGAAGACAGGUAAGGUUCACAAACCAUUUGCCAGUCAACAGGGUUUCACUUCAUGGUUCCAAUUUCAUGUUGUUAAGGAAGCUGACCAGAGAAAUAUUUUACAAGAUUAUAUCAUCAAGGGCUCUUUCAAGGUUGAGGCAUGAAAAUAUUGUUGAACCAUAUUUGGCUUUGUCUGAGGCUCAAAAAUCUAAAAGAUAUUCUGUUCUUAAAGGUUUUGCUUUCAUUUCUAUUAAGCCCAUAGGUAUCGUCCCUACAUUCACAAAAUGUUUUUAGACAGGUUGCAUAAAAACAAUGAAAAUCCUUGCCAGUUCUUUGAUGCACUACCUGAACAAAAGAUCAGAAAUCGACAUACAGAGAAAGAGUAUUUCUUUAGACAGAUCCUGACAAGGUUAGCUUUUAUUGAGAGAUCUGGUUCAACCUUUAUGCUUCUAUAUACUUGUUUGAUAUCUUUGUGAAGAAUACCCUCCUGAUGCAUUAAAGCUAAUCGCAAUAAAAAGUGCUUUUUAGGUUGACAUCUUCUUAGCAUGGAUAGUUUUGUCAUAAGUUUAUUGUGAACUUUUCUUGUCUUUCGGGACGAAAGGAAAACCUAAAACAUCUGCAGUGCCUGCUUCUUGUGCACUCAAUGUUGAUCUGCAAAGGCUAAGGCUGCAUCUCACGCGCCCAUGGAGUCGAUCAGGGUAUAGCUUUUCCGUGACACAAUAAGGGCCCUGCUUCUUUCCAUGAAUAUUUUACUAGGCACUGUUUUGCAAGCCAACCUGAUGUUGGUUUCUGGAAUAUUGCUCAGUUUACUAGGCCACUGUCAUCUGCAGAACUUAUUAGUCAAGAUGAGGCAAAUUAUAUAAUGGAGAGGUUAGUUUGUUUCUCCCAUCUAAAUUAACUAUUUGCAGUACACCUCAAUAACUCAUUAAUGAGCUGCUUGUUCCACUCAAGGCUGCUAUCCUGGUUUUCUAAAAUACAUGCCAGUUUGGAACAAUUUGCUCCUAUGUGUUGGAAAGGAAUAAAAAUAAAUAGCGAAAUUAACCUUGAAAUUUAACCACUUAUGAGUUGUUCUGUUAGUAUUGUAGACUUUUGGUGAAUCAUAAUACAUAUUCCACAGAAAUUAUAUAUUUUUUGGCUGAAAGAUAAUUGAGUCACGCUCUCACGACAGAUGGCUGAAAGACGUGCCUUCAAGAUAAAGAUGAGGAUAUAGGAGGUGACAAUGAUAACGGCAAUGAGAAUAAGAUUCUCAUGGAGGAGUAGAGCCUGAGGGUGGUGUUUGAGAAAUGUGAAGAAAAUAUAUGUUGUUUGUUUAGGGAAACUACAUUAGGACUACAUUAAAAUACUUGUAUGACUACAUGUUCCCUGGCUCAUUCAUCCCAAGACCAAAGUCUGAAGAUGUAAAUGAUCAAUCAGCGUACGAGUUAGUUAGCUA